rnacentral:rRNA from 1 species
UACGGAGGAUCCAAGCGUUAUCCGGAAUCAUUGGGUUUAAAGGGUCCGUAGGCGGUCUAAUAAGUCAGUGGUGAAAGCCCAUCGCUCAACGAUGGAACGGCCAUUGAUACUGUUAGACUUGAAUUAUUGGGAAGUAACUAGAAUAUGUAGUGUAGCGGUGAAAUGCUUAAAUAUUACAUGGAAUACCAAUUGCGAAGGCAGGUUACUAUCAAUAUAUUGACGCUGAUGGACGAAAGCGUGGGGAGCGAACAGG